rnacentral:rRNA from 1 species
GCGUAACACGUGGGCAAUCUGCCCUCCGAUGGGGAAUAACCCCGCGAAAGCGGGGCUAAUUCCGCAUAACAUUCCUUGGACUCCGGUUCGGGGAUUCAAAGCAGCAAUGCGUCGGAGGAGGAGCCCGCGCCCGAUUAGCUAGUUGGUGAGGUAACGGCUCACCAAGGCAGUGAUCGGUAGCUGGUCUGAGAGGAUGGCCAGCCACACUGGAACUGAGACACGGUCCAGACUCCUACGGGAGGCAGCAGUGGGGAAUCUUGCGCAAUGGGCGAAAGCCUGACGCAGCGACGCCGCGUGGGGGAUGAAGCUUCUCGGAGUGUAAACCCCUUUCGACCGGGACGAAUGCCCGCAAGGGAGUGACGGUACCGGUAGAAGAAGCCCCGGCUAACUACGUGCCAGCAGCCGCGGUAAGACGUAGGGGGCCAGCGUUGUUCGGAAUUACUGGGUGUAAAGGGUUCGUAGACGGUGUGGCAAGUCGGGAGUGAAAUUUCUGGGCUUAACUCAGAACCUGCUUCCGAAACUGCUGUGCUCGAGUGUGGGAGAGGCGCGUGGAAAUUGCACGUGUAGCGGUGAAAUGC